rnacentral:rRNA from 1 species
GACGAACGCUGGCGGCGUGCUUAACACAUGCAAGUCGAACGGAAAGGCCCUGCUUUUGUGGGGUGCUCGAGUGGCGAACGGGUGAGUAACACGUGAGUCACCUGCCCUUGACUUUGGGAUAACUUCAGGAAACUGGGGCUAAUACCGGAUAGGAGCUCCUGCUGCAUGGUGGGGGUUGGAAAGUGUCGGCGGUGGGGGAUGGACUCGCGGCUUAUCAGCUUGUUGGGGGGGUAGUGGCUUACCAAGGCUUUGACGGGUAGCCGGCCUGAGAGGGUGACCGGCCACAUUGGGACUGAGAUACGGCCCAGAGUCCUACGGGAGGCAGCAGUGGGGAAUAUUGCACAAUGGGCGGAAGCCGGAUGCAGCAACGCCGCGUGCGGGAUGACGGCCUUCGGGUUUUAAACCGCUUUCGCCUGUGACGAAGCGGGAGUGACGGUAAUGGGUAAAGAAGCACCGGCUAACUACGUG